rnacentral:rRNA from 1 species
AUACGGAGGGCGCAAGCGUUAAUCGGAAUUACUGGGCGUAAAGCGUACGUAGGCGGUCCGUUAAGUUAGAUGUGAAAGCCCCGGGCUUAACCUGGGAACUGCAUUUAAAACUGGCGGACUAGAGUUGAGUAGAGGGGAGUGGAAUUUCAGGUGUAGCGGUGAAAUGCGUAGAGAUCUGAAGGAACACCAGUGGCGAAGGCGACUCCCUGGACUCGAACUGACACUGAGGUACGAAAGCGUGGGUAGCAAACGGGAUUAGAAACCCGAGUAGUCC